AGUGCCGUUGGUCUUUUGAUCGACGGUUUUUAGGAAGUCUAAGAAGCUUCCAGAAUAAGGGCUGGGCAAGACUGGUGCCAGCCGCCGCGGUAACACCAGCAGCCCAAGUGGUGGCCACGAUUAUUGGGCCUAAAGCGCUCGUAGCCGGAUCAAUAAGUCCCUUGUGAAAUCGGGCCGCCCAACGGUUCGGCGUGCAAGGGAUACUGUUGGUCUUGAGGCCGGGAGAGGUCGGAGGUACUCCUGGGGUAGCGGUGAAAUGCUCUAAUCCUAGGGGGACCACCAGUGGCGAAGGCGUCCGACCAGAACGGACCUGACGGUGAGGGGCGAAGGCUAGGGAAGCGAACGGGAUUAGAUACCCCGGUAGUCCUAGCUGUAAAGCAUGCGGGCCAGGUGUCUAGCGCUCCUUGAGGGCGCUAUGUGCCGGAGGGAAGCCGUUAAGCCCGCCGCCUGGGAAGUACGGUCGCAAGGCUGAAACUUAAAGGAAUUGGC
rnacentral:rRNA from 1 species